rnacentral:rRNA from 1 species
UGGGGAAUAUUGCACAAUGGAGGGAACUCUGAUGCAGCGACGCCGCGUGAGUGAUGAAGGAAUUCGUUUCGUAAAACUCUGUUCUAUGGGAAGAAAAGGACUGUACCAUAGGAGAAAGCUCCGGCUAAAUACGUGCCAGCAGCCGCGGUAAUACGCAUGGAGCGAGCGUUUUCCGGAAUUAUUGGGCGUAAAGGGUGCGCAGGCGGCUUUACAAGUUGGAUGUGAAAUAUUGUGGCUCAACCACAAACGUGCAUCCAAAACUGCAAAGCUUGAGUUAAGGAGAGGUAAGUGGAAUUCCUGGUGUAGCGGUGGAAUGCGUAGAUAUCAGGAGGAAUACCGGUGGCGAAGGCGACUUACUGGACUUAAACUGACGCUCAGGCACGAAAGCGUGGGGAGCAAACAGG